GUCAGUUCUCUGUAGUGUUUGCCAAUGUUGGAGCCGUCUGCAAAGUGUCCCCGGCAAGAAGAGACGAUUUUGCCGUGUUCGCCAGGCUAGUCUCGAACUCCUGACCUCAGGUGAUCCGUCCGCCUCAGACUCCAAAAGUGCUGGGAUUACAGGCGUGAGCCACCACACCCAGCUGAGGAGGUGGAUUUUAUGAAACCAAAGAGGCUGCCUACCACAAGGACUUUAGCUUACUUUUUAAAGAUUGAAGAAAAAAAAGAAGACAGAAAAAGAAGAACUCAAAGAUACACAAAGUAAUUUGAACCAAGGCUCAGAAGUUUUUGGAGCCGUGAGGGAUACAGCAGUUUGGUCAAUAUUGUCUUAACAUGCUUCAAAUAAAUCAGCUUCUCUCCAAGAUAAAAUGGCAAACCCAAAAGAGAAAACUGCAAUGUGUCUGGUAAAUGAGUUAGCCCGUUUCAAUAGAGUCCAACCCCAGUAUAAACUUCUGAAUGAAAGAGGGCCUGCUCAUUCAAAGAUGUUCUCAGUGCAGCUGAGUCUUGGUGAGCAGACAUGGGAAUCCGAAGGCAGCAGUAUAAAGAAGGCUCAGCAGGCUG
rnacentral:lncRNA from 1 species